rnacentral:tRNA from 1 species
CGAAUUUGCACUUCGUACCUUUGCUGAACUCUUGGAGUGGGGGGUGUCGCACCCCAUCG